GACGAACGCUGGCGGCGUGCUUAACACAUGCAAGUCGAACGAUGAACCUUCCAUGAUCUAUUCGUAGAGAUUGGGAGCGGAUUAGUGGCGAACGGGUGAGUAACGCGUGAGCAACCUGCCUUAAACAACGGGAUAGCCUCGGGAAACCGGGAUUAAUACCGUAUGAGACCCCGCCUUCACAUUAAGAAGAGGUUAAAGAUUUAUCGGUUUAAGAUGGGCUCGCGUCUGAUUAGCUAGUUGGUGGGAUAAAAGCCCACCAAGGCAACGAACAGUAACCGGCUUGAGAGAGUGAACGGUCACAUUGGAACUGAGACACGGUCCAAACUCCUACGGGAGGCAGCAGUGGGGAAUAUUGCACAAUGGGGGCAACCUUGAUGCAGCGACGCCGCGUGAGCGAUGAAGGAAUUCGUUUCGUAAAGCUCUGUCCUAGGGGAAGAUAAUGACAGUACCCUUGGAGGAAGCCCCGGCUAAAUACGUGCCAGCCGCCGCGGUAACAC
rnacentral:rRNA from 1 species